GUCCAUAAGUCAGAUCCUUAUCAGAUCAUUGUUACCUUCUAAAAAGCGAUCUAUUUUUCACCUGUUGGACUCUGUUAGUGGUCUGAGGAAGAACAGAUCACUUUGUAAACUACGGAUGGUCUGAUAAGGUUUUUACUGACCCACUGACUUUAGAGUUACACUCUGUUUACUACAUCAUAAUGCUGGUUUUGCUGACUUUUUGUUUUUUUAUAUAUUUAUAAAAAAAGAAAAAGUUGGUGAUUGCAUUGGAAGCCCAGGGCGUCACUGGACCUUUGUGGUGUAUUGUUAACCAGUGUCUCGUGAUACCGUUGCUCUUGGUGUUCCUGACACAGGUAAGGAAACAGUUGGUCACCUCUGGUACAAAAUACAUACACAAUUCAGUAUUGUCUCUGUUCACCUUGUUUUUAUUUCAUUGACAGAAUCAAACCAGCAUUCCCCACUGUGUAAAUAAAUGAUUUUGCUGAAUAAAGUAAAGUCUUAAAUUC
rnacentral:lncRNA from 1 species